rnacentral:pre_miRNA from 1 species
AGCCCUCUGUAUUCGUGCUGAGAUUUUGUCAGAGAACAACCCGUUGGAGCUGAUGGUACUUCCCAAAUAAGUGAAGCG